rnacentral:lncRNA from 1 species
CCUAAGUUAUAUUCAUAUGCUUUGGCCAAAGACUCUCGAAUCAUAUCUUAGAGUAUUCUCCUUCCUCCAUGGAAGGUUAGAGAUCCCUUGUUGUACAUUCAUAUGCCUACAUGAGUAGAUAGCUUGACCCCAACAAUGUCGUGGACACUCCAAUGGAAUGCCUUUGACAUGAUCAAAGAUCAAGGACCUAACCAUUAGACAUC